rnacentral:piRNA from 1 species
AGAAGUUGAUGUACAAGAAGUAGUU